GGGUAAAGCGCUAAACCAACAGUAUCUAAUAUUUAUUGAAGUCAUUCUUACUGUGUUCUUGUUUGAAAUGUUUACAUGUAUUAAAUCAUUUGUGAGGUCGGUGCUAUUAGUAUUCUUAUUUGUCUAGUGGGGACUCUGAAAUGCAGAGAGGGUCAGUAACUUGCCCAAAGCCAGGCAGCUCAAAAGUGAGAGAGUGAGGAAGUAAUGAGAGAGGUGCUCACUCCUGACAGGGCAGGUCCUAGAAAAUCCUGUGUGACUCCCUUAGAUACCACUGUGAGGGCACAGAAUGACUGGAUCGAGUCCGGGGAGGCUGCGGAUAGGGUGUCCACACCAGGCAGGGAAGAGCUGAGGGCAGCCUUGUUUGAUUAUUGGCUGCUCUUCUCUCUGAGGUAUUGGAUGUGGCCCAGGAAGGCUAUUUUGCCUCAGGUUUUCUCUCAAGAGGCCUCUAAGCAGUCCUUCAGUGAACUCCACCCCAACGCUGAAACCCAGCUUCUCCCCUCAGGAGCUUAUGGCUCUAGAAUCUAUCAAAGCAGCUGCGCAUCAUGGCCUGUCCAGCGAGAGUUUUUCGAGAAAAAUUGCUGAUUGAAAAUAAUGUGCGGAACCACUAGCGAUCAUUGCUCCGGGCUUGUUACAUUUGGAGUGGGCAUGCCGUUACUCCCACUGAGAAAGAGAUUGAUGCUGGGGCAAAGUGAAGUGGACCAGUACUUGAGGGAACACGGAAAACAGCAUUCCUGUGACCGCCUUGUAAGAUUAAUUCCCAUAUCUACCAUUUGCAGCAAAUCAUCUUUGUUUCCACUCUUGGAUUUAGGCUGUUUCAAAUACCACAUGUUGUCUACCUUUCUUCUAACUUAUUUAAUAACUAAUAGGCAUAUUUUAAAAGGGGAAAUAAGAAAAAAGCUAAGAAUUUCAGUGUGAACUAUUUUAAGACUGCAGCUGCAUUUAUUACCCUCUUUCUCUAAAGUGUUCAGGUUAUUUUUAUCUACUUUUUCCAAGAAAGUAUUACCUCAUGCUUUCACACCUUAC
rnacentral:lncRNA from 1 species